UGAAACCCCAGAGAAGAGCA
rnacentral:tRNA from 2 species